UACAGAGGGUGCGAGCGUUAAUCGGAAUUACUGGGCGUAAAGCGUGCGUAGACGGUUAUUUAAGUCGGGUGUGAAAGCCCCGGGCUCAACCUGGGAAUUGCAUUCGAGACUGAAUAGCUAGGGUACGGUAGAGGGAAGCGGAAUUUCCGGUGUAGCGGUGAAAUGCGUAGAUAUCGGAAGGAGCAUCAGUGGCGAAAGCGGCUUCCUGGACCAGUACCGACGUUCAGGCACGAAAGCGUGGGGAGCAAACAGG
rnacentral:rRNA from 1 species